GAGACGCACCAGGGGUGCCUGUGCUCUGCUUUGCACCGGCAUAUUGGCCGGAACGCAGGCAGGCCAGGCUGAGACAGUCCCUUUGAACCUGAACAGGAUAAUGCCUGCGUAGGGAGUGUGCAUUUCUCUUCCU
rnacentral:ncRNA from 1 species